GGCUCGUUAGCUCAGUUGGUCAGAGCGCCACACAAGUAUUGAUGGAGGUCGCAGGUUCGAUCCCUGCACGAGCCC